AACUUUAAAUCCUUAUAUUAUAUUUUAUAGAUUAAUUAGUAAAAAAAUAUAUUUUUUUGUCUAAUGAUUUAAUCUUUUUUUUAUUGUAUCUUUUUCUAAUCUCAUUCUUCUUAUUUUAUGUCAUUGUAUUAAACUUUAUUUAAAUUAUUUAACUAAUAAGGUGUUUUUGAUUAUAUAACUCAUAUAAUUAAUAACAUAUGAAGAAUAUAUAAAUAAUUGUAUAAUCUUUUUAUUUUUAGGAUCA
rnacentral:lncRNA from 1 species